rnacentral:sRNA from 2 species
UCCGCGCUAACGCUGAGUCCCGGAUGGUCCGGGAGCGGGGGACCCAAUUCUUGGGGCGAAUUGCGCGCGAGCGCAUAGGGCACCUUUCGGCCCGAGCCCGUCAGCUAACCUCGCAAGCGUCGAAGGGACGGGCA